UUUGAAUUUACUUUCCCCAAAUCAUAGAUCCCCAAAUGAAGGAACCAAUUCCCGUCGGCACCCUUCCGCCUUUCUCACGCCGGCGACUACACUCCAUCACCGGUCAGAUUUCUCCCCAAACAAUUCGACGCAGCCUCCGUUCGGUCGAUUAAAGCCAUUUUGAAUUCCUCCCAAAUUUCAAUUCCGCCUGACCGCUACUGCCGUCGGUCAACAGCAGCCGGCACCGACUCUCCUUUGCGCACACACUCGCUGGACUCGCUUGCAGACAGCGGCCUCCGUCGCUUCGGAGUCGCUCCCUCCGUUCCAGUUGCACUCUCCUCGGUCUGGAAUCGCCGACGUCGCGCACACCAGCCGCCGAGUCGCAAGGCUGUCAUGCCGUCAGUCCAUCCGUCAGAUAUCAGGUGCCGCCGAGCGGUUGGAGGCACUCGAGAAUCCACCGAGCAGUCGCUGCCGUCGGGGUCUCACUUCGGUCUCCAGCCAUAUCGGCUGCAUUGUCACAGUCAAUUUCGUCGGACUGCCGUGGACUUCUCGGCUUAGGUUGACUUGGAAAAAUUUGCAAGGAAUCUUCCUCUUCACCUUAUUGCGGUGAUUAUGGUUUGGGAAAGGGAAAAAUCCACGUUCAAGUAUUUUCUAUGUGGAAUCCUUCUCUUACAUUCUAUGUGUGAUCUUGCCUCUCGGGUGCCCAAAAUUGAACAGAUAUGUACUUACUACUUCGUAUCCAGGAAUCUCACACCAUUCCCAAUGACAUGGUUCUUCUUCAUGCGGUUCUCGUAGCUUGCAGUCUACAAUUGUUGACAGUCAUUGUUUCUCCACAUUACCAAGAGGUUGCUCAAGUAUUGACUGCGUAUUACAAGGUGUACAUAUUCAAAGAGGCAGCAUUUGUUGCUGUUUGUGUAGAUGUCAAGUAUCUGCAGACCAACGAUUCAUCUAGAAGUGCAUCCCCUACUACUGAAGAGACCUUGAAUCAUCUCUGGCAGCACUGUGAUUCUUCUCUUCAAUUUCUACAGCCCAUGUGUCAGCAAAAGUUGUUCCGGGAAUGCAUUGUUAACAACCAGUUUUUUCUAGAUUUUACCCUGUCAUCUGAUUAGAAUUUUUACUACCUGAACGCAUUGACAUUUCUUUAAUAAACCUGCUUCACUCACCACAUUUAUCAUUAUGUGCAUGCAUGCAUUCUGUACUUAAUGCAUUUUUAAGGCUAUCUAAGAUUGACAAUCUUCUUUGUAGGUUAUUUAUAAGUCAAUUUGAGUCCCGAAUCGUUCGUUCUGCAUCGGAAGAUCAUUUAGUCCAUGUAAAACCUCUCUGGCUUAACCUAGCUUAACCUAUGGAUAUCAGUCAUCCUUUUCCAUAAAAUGAGCUUGGGAAGGGGUGGACUGUAGAGCAACUAGCUUCCUGUGUUGGACUCGGCCCUGAUGAAAAAAGGAGUAGCUCUACUUCUCAUCUUUGUAGUCGUCAAAAUCCUGGUCUUUGAGGAUUCUGUGUGUCAUUUCAUACUAAAGCCAUCAAUGAAGAACUAUUGCCAAAUCUUUAUGAUGCUCUACACUUGUUGGUACCUGAUAAAAUUGGGGUUGGACUUGCUUUGUCUAAUUCUGAAGAACACGAUAUCAUCAUGAUACCAGGAUGUGUGGUUAGUUAUUCUCUUCUUUGUACAUACAUUUAGACAUAAUUUUUUGUUUAGUUGUAGGAAGUGGAAUACAUACAACACUUUAUUAUUUUUAUCUCCUUGGAAUUCUUCUACUUGUUGCACUAAACCUGUAACCCUUUUCUUGGCUGUGAAUUCAGGAAAGACUUUCUGUUUGAGUCAGAUUGCAGAGCUGCUGUGUACCAAUCCCGUUGCGUUUGAGGCUAUUGAGAUAAUUCAGCAUAUUGUCGUGUUACUCUUAGUCAAUUUGAAGGCCUCUCUAAGCAUUUAGAUUCGUUCUUGCAAAUGUUAUCUCUCGUGGAACUAAGGUGUUUUCUGUGAUAGUUCCUAGUGCAUAAAUAGACUAGAAAGUACUUCGUCGAUCUGAAGGUCGAGGGUGGUAGUGGGCGACUGAGUUCUUAACUUAAAAGAUGAGGGGGACACGGUGGAAAACUGAAGGCAAAAGUCUAUUUAUUGAUUUUUGAGCUUGCUUUGUGAUCUUCUGUUUCUUGGUUGUUGCGCCUCUAUUUUUCCUACUUAUUUAAUUCAUUCUUUGCUGCAUUUUGCAGCUUUAUAAUUGAUCUGUUACAUAUAUUAUAUUUUUGUUUGUUAUACUGUGCCUGACGUUUUUCUACUUUUUCUAAUCCACUUUUUGCUACCUUGCAGCAUAAUUUUCUACUUUUCUAAUCCACUUUUUGCUACCUUACAGCAUAAUUAAUUCAUACAUACAUAGAUAGCAUCCUAUUUUUCUUUGUCUCAUAUGCCCUAUACAAAUAUGUGCUAUAUAAGUGUUUCUUUGAUAUGUAAACCCCAUUGAUUGUCAAGUCUUGGCUUCUUAAUAUAUCUGCUAAAUGUUUUUAUAGGCUCUUUCCCAGUUACUUACUACACACAUUUCCUUUUUACUUUGGCAUUCAGUUUGCAGGACUUGCAUCUAAAAAAGAAAUCGUGGGCCUUGGAAACUGGUUGAGCACUCAAUUAGUGUCAAGUAAAGAUACUUUAUAUGAGGAAUGAAAAUUGCAGCUUGUUGCCACUAUGUAGUAAAUACUUUAACUACAAUAGAUGGAAUCUAGACUACUUCGAUCUCUGUAUAUUUGAGUUUGUUUUCUUUACCUGUCCAUUUGAUGAUUAUGAUUGAUACAACAAAUUCUGGUUUACUGAGUGAACAUAAGAACAGAUUAAUAGUGUUGUAAUAUACUAUUCAACUUAACUAUGAGUUGUAAUGUUACGCCGUUCUAAAAUUUUCAGCUUGCCAGUAAUGUUUAUCCUUUGUGAAUGCUUCUGCUUCAGUAUCAGUCAAUAAUCAUCACUUGUGACUCACCAUAUGCUGUGUAUUGCUGCAUCAACUUGUGACUCACCAUAUGCUGUGUAUUGCUGCAUCAACUUCUGACUCACCAUAUGCUGUGUAUUGCUUGAGCUGCUUUAGAUGCUUUGGGGAAGCUUGCAAAUUCAAGACUUUGUUCCUUCCUAGGUUAUUAGUUAAUGUUAUUAAUUUGAAUUUUAGUCUAACCUUGGAUUUAUGACAUUCCCAUGUUUUCCUUCGAGAGUAAGGUAUUAGAGCAGUUUCUGGACCGUCUCAUUGAGUAGUACUGCUCCAGUUUAGUUUUGACCACCUCACUAUUUAUUCCAGCGAGUUGAAGGGUAUAAAGCUGCAACUAAUAUUUGCUUCAAUAUUCAAACUUUUAUUUAUUAAACCUAACUUUAGUUCGAUAUUAAGUGUGUCAUUUCAUACUAAAGCCAUCAAUGAAGAACUUCUGCAUAAUCAGUCUGAUGCUCUACACUUGUCUGUACCUGAUAAAAUUGAAGUUGGUCUAGCUUUGUCUAAUUCUGAAGAACACGAUACCAGGAUGUGUGGAAAAUUCUUUUUGGGUCAGAUUUCAGAGCUGUGUGCCAAUCCUGUUGCACUUCCUGUUGCACUUGAGGCUACUGAGAUAAUUCAGCAUAUUCUUUUUGAAGUGAUCUGUUUGGUCAAGUUCCUCAACAAUUUAUUUUGACCUAACAUCUCUUAUAUGCCAGUUGGGUAGUUUUAUACUUAGUCUACUGUGUUUGAGUUUUUUAUCUUUACCUGUCCGUUUGAUGUUUAUGAUUGAUAAAUCAAAUUAUUGGUUUACUGUGUGAACAUGAUCCCAGAUAAAUAAUGUCAUAAAAUACUCUUCAACCUAACUAUGUUAAUUGUAAUGUUAUCCUGUUGUAAAAUUUUUAGCUUGCCUAUAAUGUUUAUCCUUUGUAAAUGCUUCUACUUCAGAUCAGUCAUAAAGCAUCAACGCGUGACUCACCUUACGUUGGGUAUUGCUUUACGAGCUCUUUUAGAUGCUUUGUGGAAGCCUGCAGAUUCGGAAGUUUGUUCCUUCCUAGGUUAUCAGUGAAUGUUAUUAUUGUGAAUUACAGUCUGACCUUGGAUUUAUGACAUUAUGAUGUUUUCAUUUGGGAGUAAGGCAUUGGAGCAGUUUGUGGACCGUCUUAUUGAGUGGCCACAGUACUGCCAUCAUAUCCUACACUUUGCAGCAUUUAUAGAGAGGGAUCUUAACCGUAUUUCAGCGGCUUAUACUUAACCUGAUGUUGGCUGCCAUAGUGCCAAUGCAGAUCAUCGACGCGGUCAUUUUGGUUUCAGAUUGCAGGCCCAUCAUUUUCUCUGAUCUGACCUGGCAGCAUCUCGUGUGGAUUAGCAAUUCCCCUCUUCGAUCUCACUACAACAGAGACCACCAAGUUCUCUAGAUGAGAGUUGACUCCUAAUUACAUGAAGCCAUCACAACACACCUACCCUU